GACGAACGCUGGCGGCGUGCUUAACACAUGCAAGUCGAACGGAAAGGCCCUGCUUUUGUGGGGUGCUCGAGUGGCGAACGGGUGAGUAACACGUGAGUAACCUGCCCUUGACUUUGGGAUAACUUCAGGAAACUGGGGCUAAUACCGGAUAGGAGCUCCUGCUGCAUGGUGGGGGUUGGAAAGUUUCGGCGGUUGGGGAUGGACUCGCGGCUUAUCAGCUUGUUGGUGGUGUAGUGGCUUACCAAGGCUUUGACGGGUAGCCGGCCUGAGAGGGUGACCGGCCACAUUGGGACUGAGAUACGGCCCAGACUCCUACGGGAGGCAGCAGUGGGGAAUAUUGCACAAUGGGGGGAAGCCUGAUGCAGCAACGCCGCGUGCGGGAUGACGGCCUUCGGGUUGUAAACCGCUUUCGCCUGUGACGAAGCGUGAGUGACGGUAAUGGGUAAAGAAGCACCGGCUAACUACGUG
rnacentral:rRNA from 1 species